CACAAGACAUAAACAACGACAGAUGAGGAAGUGAAGCCGGAAGUUUUAACAUGAACAAUAUCAAUAGUGAGCAAACGGAUGUGUGAACAAGUUUGAGAAAAUCAAGGGCUUGGUCACUGGAGUGUUUUGAUAAUGGAGUCCGGUGUUCAGGUGAGGCCAGGUGAGUGUUGAUACAGGUGUUCAGGUGGAGGUGAGGCCAGGUGAGUGUUGGUGUUGAUACAGGUGUUCAGGUGGAGGUGAGGCCAGGUGAGUGUUGAUACAGGUGUUCAGGUGGAGGUGAGGCCAGGUGAGUGUUGAUACAGGUGUUCAGGUGGAGGUGAGGCCAGGUGAGUGUUGGUGUUGAUACAGGUGUUCAGGUGGAGGUGAGGCCAGGUGAGUGUUGGUGUUGAUACAGGUGUUCAGGUGGAGGUGAGGCCAGGUGAGUGUUGAUACAGGUGUUCAGGUGGAGGUGAGGCCAGGUGAGUGAUGGUGUUGAUACAGGUGUGGUCAGGUGGAGGUGAGGCCAGGUGAGUGAUGGUGUUGAUACAGGUGUGUUCAGGUGGAGGUGAGGCCAGGUGAGUGUUGGUGUUGAUACAGGUGUGGUCAGGUGG